rnacentral:rRNA from 1 species
UACGUAGGGUGCGAGCGUUAAUCGGAAUUACUGGGCGUAAAGUGUGCGCAGGCGGCCGCGCAAGUCGAGUGUGAAAGCCCCGAGCUUAACUUGGGAAUUGCGCUCGAAACUACGUGGCUGGAGUGUGGCAGAGGAAGGUGGAAUUCCAGGUGUAGCGGUGAAAUACGUAGAGAUCUGGAGGAACACCGAUGGCGAAGGCGGGUUGCUGGGCCGACACUGACGCUGAUGCGCGAAAGCCAGGGGAGCGAACGGG